rnacentral:lncRNA from 1 species
UUGGGAGUCCUGUGAUCCCUUCUGUAUCUUUUAAGAAGUUAUUUUAUGUCUUAUAAUUGCCUCCAGCAUACUCACCAAUCUUGUCUAAGCUGAGCCUUCGGAUACAGAAGCUGAUUUGGAGGUGAUGGAUCAGAACUCCUUGGUUAAUUGUGAUGGUUGAGCUUCACAAUCAGCUUGACUGCGUCUGAAGCCAUAAAAAACGCAGCUCCGUGGUUCUCAAUGAAUAACAUGAGGGUGGAUUAAAAAGAAAGAACCAGUAUUCUUGAAUCUUUGGUGAACUCCAUUGAAAAAAAUCUUUGUGGAUUUGAACCUGGUCUUCAUGAGAUGCUAAUAGGAGGAAAGGAUUGUGUAUUUUGAAGCAGUCAAGUUCUCCAAAAGUCAUGCCUUGGUACCUGCAGACUUUCUUGGUUUGAUUGCCAAAAAACUGGAAACACCUGGAAAAUUCUCAGAAAUCUGCUGUUUUCAAACCGAAGUCUCUUGUUCCAAUUUCAG